AUACGGAGGACGCGAGCGUUAUCCGGAUUCAUUGGGUUUAAAGGGUGCGCAGGCGGCCGUGCAAGUCAGCGGUGAAAGCCCGGGGCUCAACCCCGGAAGUGCCGUUGAUACUGCAUGGCUGGAAUGCGGUCGAGGCGGGCGGAACGCGGCGGGGAGGGGGGAAAUGCGUAGGUAUGCCACAGAAAGCCGAUAGCGGAGGCAGCUCGCCAGGCCUGCAUGGACGCUCGGGCACGAAAGCGUGGGGAUCGAACAGGAUUAGAUACCCUGGUAGUCCACGCUGUAAACGAUGGGCGCUCGUCGUCGGCGGCAGACAGUCGGCGGCCAAGCGAAAGCGAUAAGCGCCCCACCUGGGGAGUACGGUCGCAAGGCUGAAACUCAAAUGAAUUGACGGGG
rnacentral:rRNA from 1 species